UACGUAGGGCGCAAGCGUUGUCCGGAAUUAUUGGGCGUAAAGAGCUCGUAGGCGGUUUGUCGCGUCUGCUGUGAAAACCUAAGGCUCAACCUUGGGCUUGCAGUGGGUACGGGCAGACUAGAGUGCGGUAGGGGUGACUGGAAUUCCGUGGUGAUAGCGGUGGAAUGCGCAGAUAUCAGGAGGACACCGAGUGGCGAAGGCAGGUCACUGGGC
rnacentral:rRNA from 1 species